rnacentral:rRNA from 1 species
GAUGAACGCUGGCGGCGUGCCUAACACAUGUAAGUCGAACGGGAUCCUUGGAUUCGUCUGAGGUGAGAGUGGCGAACGGGUGAGUAACACGUAGGUGACCUGCCCCAGAGAGGGGGAUAACUAUUGGAAACGAUAGCUAAUACCCCAUACGGUCCUCAGAGUUGGAUAUCUGAGGAAGAAAGCUCCGGCGCUCUGGGAGGGGCCUGCGGCCCAUCAGCUAGUUGGUAGGGUAACGGCCUACCAAGGCAGAGACGGGUAGGGGACGUGAGAGCGUGACCCCCCACACUGGCACUGACACACGGGCCAGACUCCUACGGGAGGCAGCAGUGAGGAAUCUUGCACAAUGGGCGAAAGCCUGAUGCAGCAACGCCGCGUGGAUGAUGAAGGCCUUCGGGUUGUAAAAUCCUUUUCUGGAGGAAGAGAAAGGACGGUACUCCAGGAAUAAGCGUCGGCUAACUACGUG